rnacentral:rRNA from 1 species
GAAUUGUUCGCAAUGGGCGCAAGCCUGACGACGCAACGCCGCGUGGAGGAUGAAGAUCUUCGGGUCGUAAACUCCUGUCGAAUGGGACGAAUAGGUUGCGGAUUAACAGUCCGCGAUCCUGACGGUACCGUUAAAGGAAACCCCGGCGAAACCCGUGCCAGCAGCCGCGGUAAUACGGGGGGGGUAAGCGUUGUUCGGAAUUACUGGGCGUAAAGGGCUCGUAGGCGGCCAACUAAGUCACACGUGAAAUCCCUCAGCUUAACUGGGGAACUGCGUGUGAUACUGGAUGGCUUGGAUCCGGGAGAGGGAUGCGGAAUUCCAGGUGUAGCGGUGAAAUGCGUAGAUAUCUGGAGGAACACCGGUGGCGAAGGCGGCAUCCUGGACCGGUAUUGACGCUGAGGAGCGAAAGCCAGGGGAGCAAACGGG